AAAAAUAAAAGAAAAAUAAAUAAAUGAAUAAAUAAAUAAAUAAAAUCUUGUACUUGGACCUCUCUCAUUUUAGCCCACAAAGCCAUGAAAAUCAAGUUAUAAAAGAGGGAGAAAAGACAGAGCAAGGAAGAGAAGCAAAAUACUAUGAGGUUUCCUUGGAACAAAAUCCUGACCUAACCUGGGAAAAAGAUAGUGAGAGAAGAGCUAACAGAGUUCAG
rnacentral:lncRNA from 1 species